rnacentral:rRNA from 1 species
CCUACGGGAGGCAGCAGUGAGGAAUAUUGGUCAAUGGCCGCAGGGCUGAACCAGCCAAGUCGCGUGAGGGAUGACGGUCCUAUGGAUUGUAAACCUCUUUUGUCAGGGAGCAAAGGGCGCCACGUGUGGCGCUUUGCGAGUACCUGAAGAAAAAGCAUCGGCUAACUCCGUGCCAGCAGCCGCGGUAAUACGGAGGAUGCGAGCGUUAUCCGGAUUUAUUGGGUUUAAAGGGUGCGCAGGCGGAAUGUCAAGUCAGCGGUAAAAUUUCGGGGCUCAACCCCGUCGUGCCGUUGAAACUGGCGUUCUUGAGUGAGCGAGAAGUAGGCGGAAUGCGUGGUGUAGCGGUGAAAUGCAUAGAUAUCACGCAGAACUCCGAUUGCGAAGGCAGCAUACCGGCGCGCAACUGACGCUCAUGCACGAAAGCGUGGGUAUCGAACAGGAUUAGAUACCCGGGUAGUC